AUGCCUAGCACGACUCCUCAUGCCGAGGUGCAUCGAGAAGAAAACAUAGGUCUGAUUGAAUAUUCAUCGUCCUUGCUCUCCUUUGUCUGGCCUGCACGACCUCUCCCUUCGACUCCUCGAGGCGCUCCUACAGUCGGCGCCACCAUCCAUGAGACAAGAGGGGGAGACAAGAGUGAGGAGGUGAAGGCAAACCUGAAUCACCUCCUACUGUUCCAGUCAGCGAGCCUCCUUCAGCUACUGACCCCGGCCACAAUCACCGCUCGACCAACCUCGCUGCUUCCGCCCACAAGCGUAGGACACGCCACCGCUUUCUGCUUUCGCCCUCUGAACUGGCCUCCGUCGUGGAGCCUAAGGGUGGGAGCCCGCCCGCAUCCGACGCUCCAUCUACCCCUGCUGCACCCACAGACACCACCAGAUUCUCCAUGGCCUAUUGCCUCCACCCCGACCCGGCAGCCGCCAUGGGGGCCUAAGUGA
rnacentral:rRNA from 1 species